AUUGAACGCUGGCGGCAGGCCUAACACAUGCAAGUCGAACGGUAACAGGAAGAAGCUUGCUUCUUUGCUGACGAGUGGCGGGCGGGUGAGAAGUGUCUGGGAGACUGCCCGAUGGCGGGGGAUAACUAGUGGAAACGGUAACUAAUACAGCGUAAUGUAGCAACAGGAAAGAGGGGGAGAUUCGGGCAUCUUGCCCGCGUGUAUGCCCAGAUGGGAUUAGCUAGUAGGUGGGGUAACGGCUCACCUAGGCGACGAUCCCUAGCUGGUCUGAGAGGAUGAGCAGCCACACUGGAACUGAGACACGGUCCAGACUCCUACGGGAGGCAGCAGUGGGGAAUAUUGCACAAUGGGCGCAAGCCUGAUCCAGCCAUGCCGCGUGUAUGAAGAAGGCCUUCGGGUUGUAAAGCACUUUUGGCGGGGAAGAAGAGAGUAAAGUUAAUACCUCUCCUCACUGACGUUACCCGCAGAAGAAGCACCGGCUAACUCCGUG
rnacentral:rRNA from 1 species